AUCCGUAACUGGUCUGAGAGGAUGAUCAGUCACACUGGAACUUGAGACACGGUCCAGACUCCUACKGGAGGCAGCAGUGGGGAAUAUUGGACAAUGGGCGAAAGCCUGAUCCAGCCAUGCCGCGUGUGUGAAGAAGGUCUUCGGAUUGUAAAGCACUUUAAGUUGGGAGGAAGGGCAGUUACCUAAUACGUAAUUGUUUUGACGUUACCGACAGAAUAAGCACCGGCUAACUCUGUGCCAGCAGCCGCGGUAAUACAGAGGGUGCAAGCGUUAAUCGGAAUUACUGGGCGUAAAGCGCGCGUAGGUGGUUUGUUAAGUUGAAUGUGAAAUGCCCCGGGCUCAWCCUGGGAACUGCAUCCUAAAACUGGCAAGCUAGAGUAUGGUAGAGGGUGGUGGAAUUUCCUGUGUAGCGGUGAAAUGCGUAGAUAUAGGAAGGAACACCAGUG
rnacentral:rRNA from 1 species